GGGCUGGGACUCAGCGCUCUAUUUUAAGUUUGUCCUGACCUCAGAACCUAGUUUGAAAGCACUGUGCAAAAUAACAUCAGACCAAAGUCUUACAGUGCUAACACGUUUGAUUUCUGUCAAAAUACCUGAAUCUGAAAAUCUGAAACUGCCCUCACUUUGCUUCACUUUCUCUUUCAGAAUUGAACAAACUGAUCACUUCCUCCUACUCAUUUUUCACAGUCUUCUUGUUAAGGGUGUGUCAGAAACAAAGAGGUCAGUAGGGUCACUGAGAGUUGUCAGGGCGUUUUGAUCAAGCCAAACUGACGGAAAACAUGGACACAAAAAAGUCUGCUCAUCAAUGAUAUGUUUACUUCUAUAGUUAAUCGUUAUUUUUUUAAUUAAAUAUAAUGUGAAUACAACUGGAUAAAUGAUCAAAGAAUUUUAAGCAUUUGGAUUUCUCGUUUGUGCACGUAUUCCCAACCGUCAUUUAUCCAGCACUUUUCUCCACUGAGCUUUUGUCUAACUGUCCUGUUUAGAGGUGAGUGCAGAGAAAAUGCUUCAUUCAUUUCUCCUGGAGCCUUUGAACGCUCCCACAAGAGCACUAAAUAUUUACUUGAGGUGCCUCUGUUUGUUUAAAGUUGGGAGACACACCAGAGAAGCUGAAGGGGCCAUAUGGGGUGAACUUGGGACAAAACACCUCUUUGCUUAUGAUGACUGCCAGACCACCAGGAUGGUCUCGCCUGUCUUCCUUGGAGCACCAUCGCCUCUUUGCCUCCUUUUGAGGGCAUGGGGGAGUGUAGAUUACAGGCCUGCACUAACACAUCUCUCUCUUUUCAAGAGCCAGAUUUCCUAAACAAGGAAAAUUACCAUAAGAGCACAAUUCCUUAAGAACAUCAAUGGGAGUGGAAGGUUCUGCGGGUAAUCUACUGACAAUGCGCAAGUAAGAACACAAACGCAGCCAGCUCAUUUCCAUAACAACCAACACAAUCUACCAAAAGCAGCACAAAUUGGCAAAAUGGGUUAAGACAUGCUUUUUUAAUGCGUUAUAUUAUGGCACAAAUACUAUUAAAUUGACUGCCACAAACCAUUGUAAAUCAUGUUGCAUCAUUUAUUCAAAUGUUCCCUCCCAUUAAUUUUGCAUCUGAAAGAGAAAUUCAGAGACAAAAAUGAGACAAAACAAGGAAACCCAAUACAAACGAGGUACUGUAUUUGUUGCAUCCAGUGGGGACAUAAUUACUGAUUAUAAUGACUUAUACUGUCUAUUUAUGCAUUGCGUUGAAUCGCGCUGCAUAAACAUAAAACCAUGUCUGCAUUUGUGAUCGGAAAAAAAAACAAGUGCUACUCUACACUGCUCAAAAAAAUCGUGUUUUAAUAGUUAGUGGCAAAUUCUUUAAAUAUGAAAACAUACUUAUAGGCUGUGAGUCAGAACAGCCGGCAUUGUAGGCUACUCUCCCAUGUUCAGGAAAUAGUCCUCCGUAAAAUGCGUUGCACACACACAAAUAUUUGGGUUGAACUGUUCUGGAACAGUGUUGUAAAUACAACUUAACCACUGAUUUCUAGUUGUUUCCUCUUUUGGAAGACCAAACAAAGUAUUUUCACUUUCACAACCAAACACACAGCAUCUCCACAACAUGGCGGCGGUGGCAGCAACAAUACUACAGCAUGAAUCAAAGUUACACCUUCUUUCUUUGUGUGAACAUUUGGGUGGCGUUAUGCAAAUCUUCCCACACAGUGACGUGGAUGUGGGGGUGUGUUUAAAUGGCGUUUUAUAAGGGCGUGGAUGAGUCUUAACUUUUAAAUAGAAUAUCUCUUUGGGUUUGGGCCUUUAGUCUUUGCAACUUUAGGGAUCUUGUCUAUUCACGCUAUUCAGCUUGUAACACUGCAAAGAAAAGGGAAAACUUGAAAUCGGAUCGUAUGACCCCUUUAAUACAUGUUCUUGGUCUUGUAGAUCUUAGAGUAGUGGCAUAUUUAAUUUUUGACAGGAUUGAAAUUAGGCUGUCUUUCCAAAAAAUCAGACAAAAACUUCAUAAAACAGUUUUUUUAAAAUGUCAGUUUUGAAAAUUACAUGAUCUAGGACCUUAUUUACAGACUACAAAUCUAUCCCUCACAGCCUCAUUUUCAUCCACAUGAAAUUCAAUAUGGCAUCCACAGUGACUAAAGUCUAUUUGACAUGAUUCAUUGGUGCAAAAACAAUGUUUU
rnacentral:lncRNA from 1 species